UACGAAGGGGGCUAGCGUUGCUCGGAAUCACUGGGCGUAAAGGGUGCGUAGGCGGGUCUUUUAAGUCAGGGGUGAAAUCCUGGAGCUCAACUCCAGAACUGCCUUUGAUACUGGAGAUCGUUGAGUUCGGGAGAGGUGAGUGAACUGCGAGUGUAGAGGUGAAAUUCGUAGAUAUUCGCAAGAACACCAGUGGCGAAGGCGGCUCACUGGCCCGAUACUGACGCUGAGGCACGAAAGCGUGGGGAGCAAACAGG
rnacentral:rRNA from 1 species